CUAGAAACGAUCGAUCACCUGCUCCUUGGAUGUGUUCACGCUCGAGAAAUAUGGUCCGGCAUUAUGGGCAACUAGGGAAAGCCUCACUAAACUCCGGAGCUGGAGGCCGAGCUCGUUCGAUGGUGGACUUCCCUUAACAUCGAGAAGACCAAGAGGAAGGAAACAUGGACAGUGAUCACUUUUGUGGCUUGGACACUGUGGAAACAUAGGAACGACAUCGUGUUCAACGGAGCUUCCCAUCUGUCAGCACGGUCCUCCGGCAGAUCGAGGCGGAGGGACAGAACUGGAGGGCUGCGGCCCUACUGA
rnacentral:rRNA from 1 species